AGAGUUUGAUCCUGGCUCAGGAUGAACGCUGGCGGCGUGCUUAAUACAUGCAAGUCGAACGAAGCACCUUGGACAGAAUCCUUCGGGAGGAAGACCAUUGUGACUGAGUGGCGGACGGGUGAGUAACGCGUGGGUAACCUGCCUUGUACAGGGGGAUAACAGUUGGAAACGACUGCUAAUACCGCAUAAGCGCACAGUACCGCAUGGUACGGUGUGAAAAACUCCGGUGGUACAAGAUGGACCCGCGUCUGAUUAGCUGGUUGGUGAGGUAACGGCCCACCAAGGCGACGAUCAGUAGCCGACUUGAGAGAGUGAUCGGCCACAUUGGGACUGAGACACGGCCCAAACUCCUACGGGAGGCAGCAGUAGGGAAUAUUGCACAAUGGGGGAAACCCUGAUGCAGCGACGCCGCGUGAAGGAAGAAGUAUUUCGGUAUGUAAACUUCUAUCAGCAAGGAAGAAAAUGACGGUACUUGACUAAGAAGCCCCGGCUAAAUACGUGCCAGCAGCCGCGGUAAUACGUAUGGGGCAAGCGUUAUCCGGAUUUACUGGGUGUAAAGGGAGCGUAGGCGGCAUGGCAAGUCAGAAGUGAAAGCCUGGGGCUCAACCCCGGAAUUGCUUUUGAAACUGUCAGGCUAGAGUGUCGGAGGGGUAAGCGGAAUUCCUAGUGUAGCGGUGAAAUGCGUAGAUAUUAGGAGGAACACCAGUGGCGAAGGCGGCUUACUGGACAGUAACUGACGUUGAGGCUCGAAAGCGUGGGGAGCAAACAGGAUUAGAUACCCUGGUAGUCCACGCCGUAAACGAUGUCGACUUGGAGGUUGUGCCCUUGAGGCGUGGCUUCCGGAGCUAACGCGUUAAGUCGACCGCCUGGGGAGUACGGCCGCAAGGUUAAAACUCAAAUGAAUUGACGGGGGCCCGCACAAGCGGUGGAGCAUGUGGUUUAAUUCGAUGCAACGCGAAGAACCUUACCUGGUCUUGACAUCCACGGAAGUUUUCAGAGAUGAGAAUGUGCCUUCGGGAACCGUGAGACAGGUGCUGCAUGGCUGUCGUCAGCUCGUGUUGUGAAAUGUUGGGUUAAGUCCCGCAACGAGCGCAACCCUUAUCCUUUGUUGCCAGCGGUCCGGCCGGGAACUCAAAGGAGACUGCCAGUGAUAAACUGGAGGAAGGUGGGGAUGACGUCAAGUCAUCAUGGCCCUUACGACCAGGGCUACACACGUGCUACAAUGGCGCAUACAAAGAGAAGCGACCUCGCGAGAGCAAGCGGACCUCAUAAAGUGCGUCGUAGUCCGGAUUGGAGUCUGCAACUCGACUCCAUGAAGUCGGAAUCGCUAGUAAUCGUGGAUCAGAAUGCCACGGUGAAUACGUUCCCGGGCCUUGUACACACCGCCCGUCACACCAUGGGAGUGGGUUGCAAAAGAAGUAGGUAGCUUAACCUUCGGGAGGGCGCUUACCACUUUGUGAUUCAUGACUGGGGUGAAGUCGUAACAAGGUAACCGUAGGGGAACCUGCGGUUG
rnacentral:rRNA from 1 species